AGGCUGCCCUAUUUGGAAAGAAGAGGUGGCCUGGAGAGGUGAUAAAUCCAUCCAAGGUACGGGCUGGGCAGAAUUUCUGAAUAAAUCAGCCAAUACAUAUUUACUGAAGCCAACUGAGCACCUGGCCCUGAAUGCACACACCCCAGCUAAGGACUCUGCGCACAUUUCUUCCUGAGUUGGAGGGGAGUGUUACGGGGAUGGCGGGUAAGCCCGGUGACCCACAUGUUACUGCUGGCCCAGACGACACGAAGCGCCAUCAGCACAAUGUAGGUGAUCUCUCCAAGCAGACCCGGCAAGCCGAAGGUGGAGUGCACACUGUGGCUCUCGUGAAUCCCCAGCACUCGGUUAAAACACACCUGUGGACAAGUGUUAAUAUAAGCAGACUGGCAGGGUUUCAAAGUGAGAGGAGAUAAAAGAAAUUUGCUCCCCUUGCAAAGAUGAAAAUCAGAUUUGCCCUGGUUUUGGUCAAAUCAAACUAUUGAUCAGUUUUUCCUUAUUUAUUUUAUUUUAUUUUUUAAUGGCCUCCAGUUCCAUCCAUUUGCUGCAAAUGACAGGAUUUCAUUCUCUUUAUGGCUAAAUAAUAUUCCAAUGUGUAUACAAAACACUUUUUUUUUUUUGAGACAGAGUCUUGCUCUGUCGUCCAGGCUGGAGUGCAGUGGCACAAUGUCGGCUCACUGCAACCUCUGUCUCCCAGGUUCAAGUGAUUCUCACAUCUCAGCCUCCCAAGUAGCUAAGAUGACAUUUGCCCGCCACCAUGCCUGGCUAAUUUUUGUACUUUUAGUCGAGAUGGGUUUCGCCAUGUUGACCAGGCUGGUCUUGAACUCCUAACCUCAGGCGAUCUGCCCGUCUCGGCCUCCCAAAGUGCUGGGAUUACAGGCGUGAGCCACUGCGCCCGGCCAGUUUUUCCUAAUUUCAGGUUGAAAUGGACUCCCUGAAUAAUCACUGUUCAUCAAAAUCCAGCCUUCAAAAAUAUACUCCUUUUCCCACCAUCAAGUCUUCAAACCCAUGAAGAUUUGUUGUCCCUAAAUAUUUAGGGACACACAUUAUAACCUUAGAGAAGCACAUUAUAACCAAUUGGCUAUAAUGAAUUAUUCUGGAAUGAUCAGGAUUUGCUGAGUAUUGAAGAAAGAUCCAUCCACUUAGAAGAAGAAUUAAACAAUCAGAAGUGGACACGACCUGGACAUCCGCCCAACACCCUCUUCUGGGUGCUGCUCCUCUCACAUCAUUUACAUGGUUCCCCAGCAGCAGCCAUGUAUGCACGAUGUGCCCACCCCCAGC